ensembl:lncRNA
GCUGAGGGGACCAGAGAUCUGGUGGUUUUGGUAACUCUGAGAACGAACGAGGUUGAUGGAGGGAUAAAACGGAGGUGUGUAUUUAUUCUCAUGUAGGAUUCGACACGAUGCUAACCACGACAUGAGCUUUUCGCUAGUUUCACGUCCUAGGCUGUGCGGGUUGUGUUGUUUUCCGUCUUUGUGUUUCCAGAUUUAGCGUGCACCUCGACGCUUUCUCACACGUUCCCAUCACACCUGAGCACGACUAUUCACAUUCAUGAAUAAAAUGAUAAAGAUCCAGUUACAUAAAGGUCCAGGUAAGAUAUUAGCCUGAUUAUGAGUCAUGGUUAUAAUUAAGACAGUUUGAAGUGGUUAUGUUUUGUUUGUUUACCACUUUUGACGGCACGAUAAAGCCCCGCCCACUCCUGCAGCUACGCAGUUGCAGAAACGGAGCUGUACUGCACAUGUGCGAAUUUGACUCGCUGCGCCGUGCUCCGUUAAAUCAGUGCGGUUUAUAAACCAGUUGGUUUCAGGUUAUGAAUGUGUGUUGAAUUAGGAUUAUAUUUAUAUUAACUAAUGGAACUGUUCCUUCAGUGAAUUCAGAGCAGUUUAGUCAAAGUGAGAGCUUUGGAGCGGACAAAAGUAUUGAAAAAUUGAAAAAAUAUUAAUUUCAGAUAUUCAGGUAAUAUUCACAAAAUGAAAUAAAAUGAUUUGGAGUAUUUAAAUAAACAUUUUCUGUAAUGUCUGCUUUUCCUGGGAAUCUUCGACGCUUCACUUUUGACCAUAAAAUCUGUAGUUUUGAGAUUUGUAUUUAUUGUUCUGAUUUUUAAAAAAUCUAAAAACCAUAAUGUUAUUCUGAAUAAUAUGGAUUUAAAGGUAAAUCUAACACCUAGUAUGUUUAAAAUAAAUAAUAAUAAUAAUAAUAAUAAUAAUAAUAAUAAUAAUAAAAACAUUGGCAGAAAUGUACAUUUUGAAAGACACCGCAGUAAAAGCUUCCAAGCUCCAGAAAUAAAAGACACUAAUAAUUUAAUAACGUUUUUCUGAGGAGACGGCAGACUCGUAACGACACCACAGACACAAAACCAUCGCAGGAAGUCGGCUCUGAUAUUAUAACGCAGUUCUGAUCUUUUAUAAAGACCCUCUUUCUCCUUUCUAAAUAAAAUAACCACUGAUUUGUUCCAGUUAUUGAACCUGUCUGAGAAACUCCCUAAACUAUAAAACCGUUUAAAGCAUUAUGAAGAUCAGUGAGUGUCGAGUGAAUGAGUGAGUGGAUGAAUGAGUGAGUGAGUGAGUGAAUGAGUGAGUGAGUGGAUGAAUGAGUGAGUGAAUGAGUGAGUGAAUGAAUCAGUGGGUGAGUGGAUGAAUGAAUGAGUGAGUGAAUGAGUGAAUGGGUGAAUGAAUGAGUGAGUGGAUGAAAGAGUGAGUGAAGUGAAUGAGUGAGUGGAUGAAAGAGUGAGUGAGUGAGUGAAUGAGUGAGUGAUGAGUGAAUGAGUGAAUGUAUGAGUGAGUGAGUGAGGAAUGAAUGUGAAUGAGUGAGUGAAUGAGUGAGUGAGUGAGUGAAUGAGUGAGUGAAUGUAUGAGUGAGUGAGUGAGGGAAUGAGUGAGUGAAUGAGUGAGUGAAUGAGUGAGUGAAUGAGUGAGUGAGUGAAUGAAUUGAUGAGUGAAUGAGUGAGUGAAUGAAUGAGUGAGUGAAUGAGUGAGUGAAUGAGUGAGUGAAUGAGUGAGUGUGAAUGAGUGAAUGAGUGAGUGAAUGAGUAAGUGAAUGAGUGAGUGAAUGAGUGAAUGAGUGAGUGAGUGAAUGAAUGAGUGAAUGAAUGAGUGAAUGAGUGAGUGAGUGAGUGGAUGAAUGAGUGAAUGAGUGAGUGAAUGAGUGAGUGAGUGAGUGAGAGUGAGUGAAUGAGUGAGUGAAUGAGUGAGUGAAUGAGUGAGUGAAUGAAUGAGUGAGUGAAUGAGUGAGUGAAUGAGUGAGUGAAUGAAUGAGUGAACGAAUGAGUGAAUGAAUGAGUGAGUGAGUGAAUGAGUGAGUGAAUGAGUGAGUGAGUGAGUGAGUGAGUGAAUGACGAUGAGUGAGUGAGAGAGUGAGUGAAUGAGU